AGGGCGGCGGCACUGUAGAAAAUCUCACAUCGCCGGAGCUUUGACCGGCCGUUUGGGUGGUCAAACGACCUCCGUUUCGGCUCAGAUUUGGAGGGGGUGUUCUACUCAACGAGGGGAAUAAUCCUACGGUGGUCAAUCGUAUUUUUAGCGGCUGAAUUCUCAGAUUUGUGAUGCAGAUAUCUCUCCUGAGGAUCCACAGGUGGGGCAGGGAGAACUUCAGGAUGCUCCUGGAGCGGCCUAGUGGAGCGUGGCAUUUUUUUGUUAUUGUGUUUCUUUUUGGAUUUUGGGAUUUGUUUUAGUAAUUAUGACUCAUAGACUUGUUAUGAAGCUUUAUUUUGAUUAAGUUGUUAAUUGUGAACUUUUAUUUUGGACUAUAAUGAAUAUUUAUUUAAUCUUGUUGUUUUGAGUA